AAGGAGGCAGCAGUGGGGAAUCUUGCGCAAUGGCCGAAAGGCUGACGCAGCGACGCCGCGUGUGGGAGGAAGCUCUUCGGGGUGUAAACCACUGUUGCCCGGGACGAACGAGCAGCUUUUGCUGCUGUGACGGUACCGGGUGAGGAAGCACCGGCUAACUCUGUGCCAGCAGCCGCGGUAAUACAGAGGGUGCGAGCGUUGUCCGGAAUCACUGGGCGUAAAGGGCGCGUAGGCGGCUUGAUAAGCGUGCGGUGAAAGCCCGGGGCUCAACCCCGGGUCGGCCGUGCGAACUGUCGAGCUGGAGCACUGUAGAGGCAGGUGGAAUUCCGGGUGUAGCGGUGGAAUGCGUAGAGAUCCGGAAGAACACCGGUGGCGAAGGCGGCCUGCUGGGCAGUGGCUGACGCUGAGGCGCGACAGCGUGGGGAGCAAACAGGAUUAGAUACCCGAGUAGUCU
rnacentral:rRNA from 1 species